rnacentral:rRNA from 1 species
UACGUAGGGUGCAAGCGUUGUCCGGAAUUAUUGGGCGUAAAGAGCUCGUAGGCGGCUUGUUGCGUCGGCUGUGAAAUCCCAUGGCUCAACUGUGGGCUUGCAGCCGAUACGGGCAGACUAGAGUGCGGUAGGGGAGACUGGAAUUCCUGGUGUAGCGGUGAAAUGCGCAGAUAUCAGGAGGAACACCGGUGGCGAAGGCGGGUCUCUGGGCCAUUACUGACGCUGAGGAGCGAAAGCGUGGGGAGCGAACAGG